AUAAUGCCAGGAGAAGCUUUAGAUGCUUGUUUUGCCUUUAUUUGUUUAAAGCAAUAUAUUUGACUAGCAGCAAGUGUGUGGAGGUCAAAAUAUGUUCAAGACAAUAAAAAUGUCAGUGAAGGACAUCUGAAAUUCUGUUGCAGUGGUUUUCUGAUGCAUGUGUUUUAAGGUUUAAGGGUGGUGGCACAGCUAAGACCCAAGAGUCUCUUUCAAGACACUGAAUUUGAGCAGAAACCAUAAGGAUACUCAAAGGACCUGUGACUCUCAGGAAAUGCAUCAAAUGAGAGG